UACAGAGGGGGCAAGCGUUGUUCGGAAUUACUGGGCGUAAAGGGCGCGUAGGCGGCCUUCUAAGUCGAACGUGAAAUCCCCGGGCUCAACCCGGGAACUGCGUCCGAUACUGGAAGGCUUGAAUCCGGGAGAGGGAUGCGGAAUUCCAGGUGUAGCGGUGAAAUGCGUAGAUAUCUGGAGGAACACCGGUGGCGAAGGCGGUAUCCUGGACCGGCAUUGACGCUGAGGCGCGAAAGCGUGGGGAGCGAACAGG
rnacentral:rRNA from 1 species